UAAACCUAGCUCACAAGUGAAUGAACAUGUAUUCAAGAAAAUUUUAAUGAAAAAUAUAAAGGAAAAAAGCAAAAACGAUAAUUGAAUUGAAGAACUUAUAGCCAAAAAAUAGAGUUGUAAAAACUAAAUUGUUCGAGCAUCAAAUAGAAGUAAGUAAAAAAUUCAAUUGCAUGUAACUUCAAUUAACAACUAAAUAAAUGUAAUUGAUAGCUUAAAAG
rnacentral:lncRNA from 1 species